rnacentral:rRNA from 1 species
GACAGAGGGUGCAAACGUUGCUCGGAAUCACUGGGCGUAAAGGGCGCGUAGGCGGGAUGGCAAGUCGGUCGUGAAAUCCUUCGGCUCAACCGAAGAACGUCGGCCGAUACUGCCGUUCUUGAGGGAUGCAGAGGAGAUUGGAAUUCCCGGUGUAGCGGUGAAAUGCGUAGAUAUCGUAAGGAAGACCAGUGGCGAAGGCGGGUCUCUGGACAGUUCCUGACGCUGAGGCACGAAGGCCAGGGGAGCAAACGGG